AUUGAACGCUGGCGGAAUGCUUUACACAUGCAAGUCGAACGGCAGCACGGACUUCGGCCUGGUGGCGCGUGGCGAACGGGUGAGUAGUGUAUCGGAACGUGCCCAGUCGUGGGGGAUAACGUAGUGAAAAUUACGCUCAUACCGCAUACGAUCUAUGGAUGAAAGCGGGGGAUCGCAAGACAUCGCGCGAUUGGAGCGGCCGAUAUCAGAUUAGGUAGUUGGUGGGGUAAAGGCCCACCAAGCCAACGAUCUGUAGCUGGUCUGAGAGGACGACCAGCCACACUGGAUCUGAGACACGGUCCAGACUCCUACGGGAGGCAGCAGGGGUGAAUUUUGGACAAUGGGCGAAAGCCUGAUCCAGCCAUUCCGCGUGCAGGAUGAAGGCCCUCGGGUUGUAACUGCUUUUGUACAGAACGAAAAGGUUUCUACUAAUACUAGGAGCUCAUGACGGUACUGUAAGAAUAAGCACCGGCUAACUACGUGCCAGCAGCCGCAGUAA
rnacentral:rRNA from 1 species